UCUUUUAUGCUGAUAUAGGUUCAGUAGGACUGUAGGAAUAUAGGAGGGAGAAAGGAAGGAAGAUUGUUUCCAAAAAAAAAAAAAAAAGGUUUUUUCCUGACUCCAUUUUACUAAACUUGGAGAUUUCGCAGCAUUUAUUAUGAAGCAAAACCCUGGAAUCUGUGCAAAAAUGUGCACAGAAAUGGAGCAGCAAGAACCAAAGACACCAAAGACAAGAGUUAAAAUCGCCUUCCUUAAAGCAGAUGAAGACAUGUUUAGGCACAGAACUGAAAGUAACCCAUACAGACGCCCUAACAUGAAGACAAAAAUGGAUUCUGGCUUAAGGAUGAAAACAUCAGGACAUUUGAACGGAAAUGUAAAAGUAUAUUAAUAUCUGCUAUAAGUAUGAGUAAAUAUUUUGUUGUAUAUAUUAAGCUGAAUAAGCCAGGAUUUCCAAAACACUUCUUGCAUUAAGUGAAAUUUCCUUAUCAAAUGAGUUCAUACAACUUUUUUUUAGAUUAGUGAAAAAAGUUAUGAAAAAAAAUUUCAAUUUAGUUUAAUCUGUAGAGUUUAUCCGUUUUUUUUUCUUACCUCAAUUAUAGAGUUCUCUAUAAUGUCACAGCUUCUAGCUGUCCCAAAGUUACACAUUACUGUUUGUAAUAUUUAACACAGUUUUUUUAUUUUUAUAUAAUUUUUUUAAUUUUUAGAAAAAGAUUUAAUGUUUUAUUCUCAGGUUUCGUCCGUUUUAUGCUUUAUAUGCGAUAUGUCAUGUUCUCUUGCAUGUCAAAAGUUAACCAAAAAGAAAUUAAGUUAUAAACUUAAUAGUCAUUGUUCAUUGCUCAUAUUAACUCAUUGUUAAUACUAAUUGUUCAUUGUUCAGAUCAGCAACAUUUUGUUUUCCAAAGGUGAUCAUUCCAACCACUGAGCACAUUCAAUCAUUUAAGUGACAGCUGGUCAGAAUUUACUAUAAUUUGAGAAUUCUACAGCACUCUAAAAUGUGGAAUAAUGUGGACAUUUUGUGUAGUAUUUAAUUACAUAUCCCUAUAUAGUGGAACACCAUCAUUCUUUUUUCGCCCCAUGUAUUUUGAGAGAAUAUUUGGUUUGUUGAUGGGAAUUGGCAGAAACAAUGAAAUGAAAAUUGUUCAUUUGAUUUAAUUUGAAUAAAACCUCUCCAAUGUAAUAACAAA